UCCGAGGCCUGCUCCUUCCGUAUCACCCCGUGCCGGUCUCUGGUUCCAGCACCGUUCCCCUCUCAGCCUGGUGUUCCUGGGGCACAUGAAUUCGGGUUAUUUACAGCUCAGUUCAAAUUCAACCAUGGCUGGCUUGUGAGCUCAGGCAAGGUGUGGCCCUCUCUGAACCUUCUUUUUUUUUUUUUUUUUUUUUCAGAUGGAAUCUUACUCUGUCACCCAGGCUGGAGUGCAGUGGUGUGAUCUCAGCUCACUGCAACCUCCACUUCCCAGGUUCAAGCAAUUCUCCUGCCUCAGCCUCCCAAGUACAUGGCAUUACAGAUUUCAGUAUACAGAGCUUCCACCUGACGCUGCUUCAGGACUGAGUGGCUUAGUCCCUGGCUGCCGGGAGGCUGCCCAUCAACCUUUCUAGGCAUUGCUUUGGCUGAGGAGCUUCGUUGUCCAAGGCCAUCUUCUUCCUCAGAGGAUGCCAGCGUCUGUGUGGUGGAGCCUCACAUGCAGAUAUAAACGCUCAGCCUCUUGACCCAACCUGGGACAACUCAGGGCAAUGCCAGUUGCAGAGCUGCCUGUGGAAUCAGCCGAGGCCUCUGCUGAGGCUGGUUCACAACCCAACUCUCCCUCCACUCAAUCCCACCUUCAUCCCCCACCCCAACAUGGAGUCCCAGCAUGCUUCCUAAUCACGGUACUGCACGCUCAUCUCUGAGGCAAAGUCUGCUUCAAGGGAGCCCAGCCUGCAGCAAGCUCUUGCUUGGAGGCAUGUGAAUCUUGCUGAAAGGGAUUCUGGAGAUCCCCAGAGCCUGCAGGCCCGGCUUGGGUGCUGUACAGCAGGAAAUGCUAUCAGGUCCCAGGGAUGACAUGGGCCAAUGCUCCCUCAUUGCUGUGGCUGCUCCCAGGGCCAGAUGCCAGGUCACUGCCACACUGCCCCCAGACAUGUGGAAUACCUUCAGCACAUGAAGGAUUGAACUUGACCCCACGUUCAACCUGGUUUAUGGCAUGAGGGAUGGGCUAACCCAAGAAUGAAAGGGGAAGGAUGGCUUGUGUUUGCAAAGGAAGCU
rnacentral:lncRNA from 1 species